rnacentral:lncRNA from 10 species
GGGAGCAACCUGACCCCUGCUCAUCACUACAAUGACUUUCGUUUCAAGACCUAUGCACCUGUUGCCUUCCGCUACUUCCGGGAGCUAUUUGGUAUCCGGCCCGAUGAUUACUUGUAUUCCCUCUGCAGUGAGCCGCUGAUUGAACUCUGUAGCUCUGGAGCUAGUGGUUCCCUAUUCUAUGUGUCCAGCGACGAUGAGUUCAUUAUUAAGACAGUCCAACAUAAAGAGGCGGAAUUUCUGCAGAAGCUGCUUCCAGGAUACUACAUGAGUCUCGCUUUGUUGUCCAAGCUGGAGUACAGUUGCACAAUCUCGGCUCACUGCAACCUCCGCCUCCCAGAACCUCAACCAGAACCCUCGGACUUUGCUGCCUAAAUUCUAUGGACUGUACUGUGUGCAGGCAGGUGGCAAGAACAUUCGGAUUGUGGUGAUGAACAAUCUUUUACCAAGAUCGGUAAAAAUGCAUAUCAAAUAUGACCUCAAAGGCUCAACCUACAAACGGCGGGCUUCC